AGUGAACGCUGGCGGUAGGCCUAACACAUGCAAGUCGAACGGCAGCACAGUAAGAGCUUGCUCUUACGGGUGGCGAGUGGCGGACGGGUGAGGAAUACAUCGGAAUCUACUUUUUCGUGGGGGAUAACGUAGGGAAACUUACGCUAAUACCGCAUACGACCUACGGGUGAAAGCAGGGGAUCUUCGGACCUUGCGCGAUUGAAUGAGCCGAUGUCGGAUUAGCUAGUUGGCGGGGUAAAGGCCCACCAAGGCGACGAUCCGUAGCUGGCCUGAGAGGAUGAUCAGCCACACUGGAACUGAGACACGGUCCAGACUCCUACGGGAGGCAGCAGUGGGGAAUAUUGGACAAUGGGCGCAAGUCUGAUCCAGCCAUACCGCGUGGGUGAAGAAGGCCUUCGGGUUGUAAAGCCCUUUUGUUGGGAAAGAAAAGCAGCAGGUUAAUACCCCGCUGUUCUGACGGUACCCAAAGAAUAAGCACCGGCUAACUUCGUG
rnacentral:rRNA from 1 species